UUUUGUUUUUUUGCCUCAUAGUUUGGGGGAUUUCAGUCCAUGAUCAAUUGGCCCCAUUGUUUGGGGCCUGUGCCAAGGCAGCAUAUCAUGGCAAGAGUGUGUGGUAGAGCAAAGCUGUUCAUUUCAUGAUGGCAGGAAGCAAAAGAAACCCUCUAACCCCCCCCCCCAAGGACAUGUCCCAAUGACCUAAAGACCUCCCACUAGGACCCACCUCUUAAAGGUCCCACCACCUCUCAAUAGCACCAAGCUGGGGACUAAGCCUUUGAACAACUGGCUUUGAGGGACAUUCCAGAAGCAACCUAUAGCAAGUGCAGAACCCAAGACAUAAGUGCUGAGGAGUCAAUGACACAGACAUGACACCUUGGCCACAGGGGCUACUAGCAGAAAGCCCACAAAUGCAGCAACAGCGGAGGAGGCGAAUCAAAGACUUGCAUGCCAAACCAGGAAAAACAAAAUACAAUGUGGCCAAGAGCCCUGCACUUUAUACUUGAAGAUUUUUUUUUCCUUUUCUUUUUUUAAAGAUUUUUGCUUAUAGGUAAUAGAUCUACAGAAAAAUAAACUCCACUGGGCUGGGUAUGUGGCUCAUAGGUGGAUCACUUGUCUAGCAUGUGUGAGGCCAUGGAUUCCAUCCCCAAUACGAGAAGAGAAAGAAAGAGGGAGCGGGGAGAGAAAGGCAGGCAGGCCGACCCAUCAAAAGUGUACAUGAAAUUUUUUUGCUUAUCUUGGAGUUGAGAAUGGCCUCUGUCUAUGCAUACUCUGUUGCCAUGCCUCACAGACUGCUCUAAUGUAAACGGAGAUGCUACUUUAUUUGACAGUGGAUAGUUCAAGCACGCAUAAGUGUGACAGGGUGGAUGUAAUGUCAUAGGUAGGUCCCUUCCCUUGCAGCUUUCUCUGUGCAGGGUGAACAGCAGCAGCCCUGUUGGAGGGUUGGCACAAAGCCCAUAAGUGGCCAGUAAUGGCACUCCCUUCCAGGGUCUGAGAAUCUCAGGGUGCCCAAGAGUCACAGCAAAGGGAUGUUACAGUGAGGCUCCCUGAUGGCCCACCCUACCUGCCUCUAUAAGGAAAAAUAUUCUGCAGGUGUAGGAUAAUUGCAGAAAAGUAGACAUUAAUUCAGCCCAGCAGAUACACCUUUAACUGAAAAGAACGCACCUUUUGUUACUCCCAGUCCAGCUCAUUGGAAUUUGUUGGUCAAAGUGGGAUCGAUAUUUUGAGUAAGGUUUUUAAGAGAACAGCUUGUCUUCUUAAACACCUACGCAACACUCUUGUGAAUAAAAAUAGACAGGGCGUCGGCAUUGCCUGGAUGUCUGCUUUAUUAAAACACUCAUAUUCUGUAGACAUUUUAGCUCUGAAUGCAUCUUGGUUUGAUAAUAGAAAUUUUUUUCCAAAUUGUUGUGUAUGAUUCUAGUUUUAAUAUGUCUGUCAAGUAAAAACUUUGACAGUUGUCAUCAUGGAAUGAACAAUAAUAACAUUAUACUGAAUACUGUUGUGCUUAAGGAUUUUGG
rnacentral:lncRNA from 1 species